CAGUUCUCGUACGAUCACCGAAGUUAAGCAACGUCGAUCCUGGUCAGUACCUAGAUGGGUGACUGCUUGGGAAUAGCAGGAGUUGUA